rnacentral:lncRNA from 1 species
GCUCUUCAGGCUUGGCAGCUACAUGAGAACAAGCACGAAACUGAGCUGGUGGAUGCAAAUCUCUCUGAAUUUGAUGUAGACGAAGUGAAAAAAGUAAUAAUGAUCGCUCUACUAUGCACUCAAACAUCCCCAGGAUUACGGCCUUCAAUGUCCCGUGUAAUAGCAAUGCUUACAGGAGAUGCUGAGGUUGCCGCUGUGACUUCCAGACCUGGAUACCUGACCGUCUGGAAAUUUAAAGAUACAACAAGCUUCAUGAUUGAUCAUUCUUCGCAAAUGCACAAUUCAUCAGACCGUCUGGAAAUUUAAAGAUACAACAAGCUUCAUGAUCGAUCAUUCUUCGCAAAUGCACAAUUCAUCAGAGGGUACAAGUACAGCCGCGACUACAAAUUAUUCACCAUCAGGUGCUGACACACCGAUGCUCACUGAUCAUUGGAGAGGGUAUAUGAAAUCUUGUAUAUUUGAUGAAGCUAGACAUCAGAUAAACAUUUAACCUUUUGUUUGCGCUUUGAAGAUCUCAUCUUUCUUGAGAUUCUUUCUGCAUGUAACCCUUUGUGUAUACCUUUUCGUCGAUUUAAGGAAUACUUUUACCUAA